AUUUGACUUCUUCACGUCUGUUGUUCAAUGAAUGCAUCAUUUGGUUCAACUCAAUCCAGCACAAUCAGUCGUAAAACCGCUGGGAAAAUAUUUUAUUCAGUCUAAAUAAAGCAUGAACAUGAGCAGGUUCAUAUUCGUUGCCACAGCACUCUUUGCAUUGAAAUUGGUUAAAGGAUGUGAUCUGAUGAACUUGCGGAUUGCUAUAUUGAACGACGAACUAGAUAGCCCUAACGAAAGUUGUGUUUUUUCCAGCGGCUGCAGCCUUUCGAAUUUAUCGUGCCGCUACAUCAGCUAUAUUAAUUCGUCGGUAGUGAAAACCUUUUAUUCAGAUUUGGAAUCAUUAGGGAAUGUUAUGAAAGGUGACAAUCCAUGUGGUGCCCUUUAUUUUUCAGAUAACUUUACUGAUGCUUUAGUAGCCCGCAUUGCAUUAGGACCUGAUGCUGAUGAUGAAACGAUUAUGCAAUCGGAAGUUCGUGUGUGGCUUGGAAAGCUUAACCCGACAAUCUAUAGCACCAUGCUCAAACUUGUGGAGGCGGCUUAUCGAGAUUUUUCCAAGGCACUGCUACAAGAUUGCAACAAUUUUACGAAUGAGGAAAAUGAUUACGUGGAAACAAAAAUGUGUAUUAAUAAUAGUUCUUCCUUAGCAAACUCUAUACAGCCAAAUGAUUUCAAAAGCUUCUCUCUUUGUUGGCCUUGUAGCCGUCAAUUGAAUUAAAACUGUGUUUCUGUAAAAACAUUUGUUAGUACAAAUAAAUAAAAACAAUAUGUGAAUUGAUUAACUUAAUUAAA